AAUGCAUCGGAACGUGCCCAGUCGUGGGGGAUAACGCAGCGAAAGCUGCGCUAAUACCGCAUACGAUCUGUGGAUGAAAGCGGGGGACCGUAAGGCCUCGCGCGAUUGGAGCGGCCGAUGUCAGAUUAGGUAGUUGGUGGGGUAAAGGCUCACCAAGCCGACGAUCUGUAGCUGGUCUGAGAGGACGACCAGCCACACUGGGACUGAGACACGGCCCAGACUCCUACGGGAGGCAGCAGUGGGGAAUAUUGGACAAUGGGCGAAAGCCUGAUCCAGCCAUGCCGCGUGUGUGAAGAAGGUCUUCGGAUUGUAAAGCACUUUAAGUUGGGAGGAAGGGCAGUAAGCUAAUACCUUGCUGUUUUGACGUUACCGACAGAAUAAGCACCGGCUAACUCUGUGCCAGCAGCCGCGGUAAUACAGAGGGUGCAAGCGUUAAUCGGAAUUACUGGGCGUAAAGCGCGCGUAGGUGGUUCGUUAAGUUGGAUGUGAAAGCCCCGGGCUCAACCUGGGAACUGCAUCCAAAACUGGCGAGCUAGAGUAGGGCAGAGGGUGGUGGAAUUUCCUGUGUAGCGGUGAAAUGCGUAGAUAUAGGAAGG
rnacentral:rRNA from 1 species